rnacentral:tRNA from 5 species
UUUUCAGACCGGGGCUAUCAACCACUCAGCCAUCUCUCC